rnacentral:tRNA from 1 species
GGGGACGUAGUUUAGCCCGGUAGCCACGUGAAGCGCCGCGAACGAUAAUGGCUCCAGACCAAUUGGUCGGGAGUUCAAAUCUCCCCGUCCCCA